AAGCGGAGGAAAAGAAACCAACCGGGAUUGCCUUAGUAACGGCGAGUGAAGCGGCAAAAGCUCAAAUUUGAAAUCUAGUACCUUCGGUGCUCGAGUUGUAAUUUGUAGAGGGAUACUUUGGGGCCGUUCCUUGUCUAUGUUCCUUGGAACAGGACGUCAUAGAGGGUGAGAAUCCCGUGUGGCGAGGAGUGCGGUUCUAUGUAAAGUGCCUUCGAAGAGUCGAGUUGUUUGGGAAUGCAGCUCUAAGUGGGUGGUAAAUUCCAUCUAAAGCUAAAUAUUGGCGAGAGACCGAUAGCGAACAAGUACAGUGAUGGAAAGAUGAAAAGAACUUUGAAAAGAGAGUGAAAAAGUACGUGAAAUUGUUGAAAGGGAAGGGCAUUUGAUCAGACAUGGUGUUUUGCGCCCUCUGCUCCUUGUGGGUGGGGGACUCUCGCAGCUCACUGGGCCAACAUCAGUUUUGGUGGUCGGACAAAUCCGUAGGAAUGUAGCUUACCUCGGUAAGUGUUAUAGCCUGCGGGAAUACGGCCAGCCGGGACUGAGGACUGCGACUUUUGUCAAGGAUGUUGGCAUAAUGGUUAUAUGCCGCCCGUCUUGA
rnacentral:rRNA from 1 species